CAGGAUGCUAAUUAAUGGAAUGGAAGGAGCUUACAUCAAAUCUGGAGGGAUUGAACUUCUGAGGAUCUGGGAAAACUUCCGGAUCAUGGUGAAUAGAAACAACAUCCAAGUUCAUACCAUCAAUCUUGAAGUCCUGAGCAGCUUUUCUUGAAAACCAAGGCAGAAUUGUGGCUCUCCGGAGUGUUUCAUUAAUCACCUGAAAGUCGCAACAGAUUAAAGAAACCAGGACAGGCUGGCUUAAUGGAAAAAGUAAUAAUCAAUAUGCUACUGCUCCUUACUUUGUUUGUGUAAGGCAUGUGACUGACUUCAGUCCAGGUGGAUUUUCUUCAAGGAAUUUGAUGAGCCAUGUGAGUGCAGCAGUUGUGGUAUCAUGGCCUGCAACUAGCAGAGUCAAUAUAUUGUCCUUCAAUUGAUUAUC